rnacentral:rRNA from 1 species
AGUGAACGCUGGCGGUAGGCCUAACACAUGCAAGUCGAACGGCAGCACAGUAAGAGCUUGCUCUUACGGGUGGCGAGUGGCGGACGGGUGAGGAAUACAUCGGAAUCUACUUUUUCGUGGGGGAUAACGUAGGGAAACUUACGCUAAUACCGCAUACGACCUACGGGUGAAAGCAGGGGAUCUUCGGACCUUGCGCGAUUGAAUGAGCCGAUGUCGGAUUAGCUAGUUGGCGGGGUAAAGGCCCACCAAGGCGACGAUCCGUAGCUGGUCUGAGAGGACGAUCAGCCACACUGGAACUGAGACACGGUCCAGACUCCUACGGGAGGCAGCAGUGGGGAAUAGUGGACAAUGGGCGCAAGCCUGAUCCAGCCAUACCGCGUGGGUGAAGAAGGCCUUCGGGUUGGAAAGCCCUUUUGUUGGGAAAGAAAAGCAGCAGGUUAAUACCCCGCUGUUCUGACGGUACCCAAAGAAUAAGCACCGGCUAACUUCGUG